rnacentral:rRNA from 1 species
CCUACGGGAGGCAGCAGUGGGGAAUAUUGGACAAUGGGCGAAAGCCUGAUCCAGCCAUGCCGCGUGUGUGAAGAAGGUCUUCGGAUUGUAAAGCACUUUAAGUUGGGAGGAAGGGUUGUAGAUUAAUACUCUGCAAUUUUGACGUUACCGACAGAAUAAGCACCGGCUAACUCUGUGCCAGCAGCCGCGGUAAUACAGAGGGUGCAAGCGUUAAUCGGAAUUACUGGGCGUAAAGCGCGCGUAGGUGGUUUGUUAAGUUGGAUGUGAAAGCCCCGGGCUCAACCUGGGAACUGCAUCCAAAACUGGCAAGCUAGAGUACGGUAGAGGGUGGUGGAAUUUCCUGUGUAGCGGUGAAAUGCGUAGAUAUAGGAAGGAACACCAGUGGCGAAGGCGACCACCUGGACUGAUACUGACACUGAGGUGCGAAAGCGUGGGGAGCAAACAGGAUUAGAUACCCGGGUAGUC